rnacentral:tRNA from 1 species
GUCCCGGUAGCUCAGUUGGAUAGAGCAGCAGAUUUCUAAUCUGCAGGUCGGUGGUUCGAGCCCACCCCGGGACG